CUCCGUAGGUGAACCUGCGGAGGGAUCAUUACCGAGUUUACAACUCCCAAACCCAAUGUGAACGUUACCAAACUGUUGCCUCGGCGGGAUCUCUGCCCCGGGUGCGUCGCAGCCCCGGACCAAGGCGCCCGCCGGAGGACCAACCAAAACUCUUAUUGUAUACCCCCUCGCGGGUUUUUUUAUAAUCUGAGCCUUCUCGGCGCCUCUCGUAGGCGUUUCGAAAAUGAAUCAAAACUUUCAACAACGGAUCUCUUGGUUCUGGCAUCGAUGAAGAACGCAGCGAAAUGCGAUAAGUAAUGUGAAUUGCAGAAUUCAGUGAAUCAUCGAAUCUUUGAACGCACAUUGCGCCCGCCAGUAUUCUGGCGGGCAUGCCUGUCCGAGCGUCAUUUCAACCCUCGAACCCCUCCGGGGGGUCGGCGUUGGGGAUCGGCCCUGCCUUGGCGGUGGCCGUCUCCGAAAUACAGUGGCGGUCUCGCCGCAGCCUCUCCUGCGCAGUAGUUUGCACACUCGCAUCGGGAGCGCGGCGCGUCCACAGCCGUUAAACACCCAACUUCUGAAAUGUUGACCUCGGAUCAGGUAGGAAUACCCGCUGAACUUAAGCAUAUCAAUAAGCGGAGGAA
rnacentral:rRNA from 1 species